CUAUAGUCUAGACUAUAAACUAUACUAUAGACUAUAGACUAUAAAGUGGAAUAUAGUCCACAUAGUAAUUUAGAAUAUAAACUAAAAUAUAGUCAAGAUUACAAUCUGGUCUAUACACUAGACCACAGUCCGAUUUACAGUCCACAUAUAAACUAAACUAUAUUUCACACUAGGCUAGAUAAUAUUCCUGACUAUAGACUAGAUUGUACUCCAGACCCUAGUCUACUAGUAUUUUCUAUAAAAAUUGAGUUUCCCUUAACCGUUUCGUUAAAGUCGCUACUGUGAAAAUGUUUGUUAAAUAAAUUAUUAAAUAUUUAAAAAAAAUUAAACUGUAUUAAAUAUGCAUGUUGUUUAUUUAUUUGGUAAUUUAUUAAUUUACUACUUAAGUUGUUUAUUUGUUUAUGUUCUAUUUAAACUAAUUUUUAUUUAAAACAAAUAAUUUGGUUUUUUAUAAAAAUAGCUCAACAGUUGUGAGGCAUAAUUAAGCAAAUAUUUGAAUUAAAAUUAAUAUUGACUUAAAUUUAAUAUAAAAACAUAAAAGUUUUGCGUAAUUAAUUUACUUAUGUGUUUUUUUCACAAAAUUUUAUUUCGUUUCAAGAACCAGUACUUAGUAGAGAAGAUAUACAUAUAACAUUAUCGCCUGGUGAAAAUAGAAUAAUACAUUCAUGGAUUGUUUCGUGACAACAUGCGAAUAGAUCAUAAUCGUUUGUAAAGGAUUGUGAUCUUAAGAUGAGAAAAGGGUCUCGGUUUAUGGUUUGGUCCAAGUUUGGUGGCUUUAAUUUAAAUAUUUUGUAUUUUUUUUUUAUACUUAAAUUUAAAUAAUUCUAGGUUAUUAUUUUGUAAUAUAGAAAUUUUAAAAGUUUGCCUUAACAGCAAUUUAAACUGUAAUUAGUAACUAUUUGUAAAUAAUCAAAAGAAGAAUCAAAAAUUUUAACAAAAUUUAAAUUAAUUUUUUAUUUAUUUAAUAGAAAUGCUGCUGGCAGCUUUAUGUGAUGUAAUUUUAAUAAAAUAAAACUGUAAACUAUUCGUAAAUAAA